CGCCCGUCUUGUAACACGGACCAAGGAGUGUACCUUGCAUGCGAGUCUAAUGGACUGGAAUCCACUAGGCGUAGCGAAAGCGACGAGAGCGAAUCCCUCACCGGAGGAUGCUCCACCUGCCUGUGUAAGGUUGAGCAUGUAGGGUGCGACCCGAAAGAUGGUGAACUAUGCUUGAAUAGGGUGAAGCCAGAGGAAACUCUGGUGGAGGCUCGCAGCGGUUCUGACGUGCAAAUCGAUCGUCAAAUUUGG
rnacentral:rRNA from 1 species